CACGUAGGGCGCAAGCGUUGUCCGGAAUUAUUGGGCGUAAAGAGCUCGUAGGCGGACUGUCACGUCCGCUGUGAAAAGCUAGGGCUUAACCCUGGCCUUGCAGUGGAUACGGGCAGACUAGAGGUAGGUAGGGGAGAAUGGAAUUCCCGGUGUAGCGGUGAAAUGCGCAGAUAUCGGGAGGAACACCGGUGGCGAAGGCGGUUCUCUGGGCCUUACCUGGCGCUGAGGAGCGAAAGCGUGGGGAGCGAACAGG
rnacentral:rRNA from 1 species